rnacentral:rRNA from 1 species
AACGAACGCUGGCGGCAUGCCUAAUACAUGCAAGUCGAACGAUCACUUCGGUGGUAGUGGUGCACGGGUGCGUAACGCGUGGGAAUCUGCCCUUGGGUUCGGAAUAACAUCUGGAAACGGAUGCUAAUACCGGAUGAUGACGUAAGUCCAAAGAUUUAUCGCCCAGGGAUGAGCCCGCGUAGGAUUAGCUAGUUGGUGGGGUAAAGGCCUACCAAGGCGACGAUCCUUAGCUGGUCUGAGAGGAUGAUCAGCCACACUGGGACUGAGACACGGCCCAGACUCCUACGGGAGGCAGCAGUAGGGAAUAUUGGACAAUGGGGGCAACCCUGAUCCAGCAAUGCCGCGUGAGUGAUGAAGGCCUUAGGGUUGUAAAGCUCUUUUACCCGGGAUGAUAAUGACAGUACCGGGAGAAUAAGCCCCGGCUAACUCCGUGCCAGCCGCCGCCGUAA